AUGACAGACGACGAGAAGCUCCUAAUCCGAACUUUCAAUGCUGUGAAGCUACAAACAAGACAAAUAAUAGCAAUCCUAAGUUACUUGAGAGGCGGGAACACUCCUUACACCAAAAAGCAUGUAAGGAAUGUUAGAACAGCCAUUGGCAAAGAGAGCAAUCAAAAUGACAUGAUGCAGGUGCUCACAUAUUUCAGGAAGAGACAAGCUGACGAUCCACAGUUUUACUAUGCGUUCAAAACAAAUAAAGUCCCUGAUGACGCAAGUAAAGUUUUGUGCAUUUUCUGGGCUGACAGAUAUCCUAGGAAAAUGUAUGAGCUGUAUGGCGAUUGCCUCAGCUUCGACACAACAUUCAAGACAAACAGAUACAACCUCCCGUUUGCUCCCUUUGUUGGUGUCACGGGACAUGGCCAGAACUGUUUGUUUGCUUGCUCUAUCAUAGAGAAUGAAACAGCUGACACCUUUCAAUAG
rnacentral:rRNA from 1 species